AUCUCGAAAAGGCAAAGUUGGUGAAAGCCAAUGACGCAAAACUACAGGGGCUACGGUGUUUCAGUACACUAGGCCAGCCAGUUACCGAA
rnacentral:ncRNA from 1 species